rnacentral:rRNA from 1 species
AACCUACGGGGGGCAGCAGUGAGGAAUAUUGGUCAAUGGGCGAGAGCCUGAACCAGCCAAGUCGCGUGAGGGAAGACGGUCCUAUGGAUUGUAAACCUCUUUUGCCGGGGAGCAAAAAGCGGUACGUGUACCGCAUCGAGAGUACCCGGAGAAAAAGCAUCGGCUAACUACGUGCCAGCAGCCGCGGUAAUACGGAGGAUGCGAGCGUUCUCUGGAUGUAUUGGGUUUAAAGGGUGCGCAGGCGGCGAGUUACGUCAGCGGUAAAAUUGCGGGCCUCAACCCCGACGAG